UUUUGGGAUUUUAUGUAUGCUAUUUUGUACUUUUGUACUCUUUUUUAUACAAAAAACAACACAUUUUGAAACGCUUUCUUAGCCUUUAGAUGUACAACAAUCCAACUCUUGAAAUGUAUUUGUCAAGAUUUCACUAUUUUAUUAAUAGCAUUAACUCUUGCACAUAAAACGAGACAGUCUUCUCUUUUGUACUCAUCCCCACUAUUUUCUUUCUUUUCAAACUCUAUCUCCUCACUCUUUCUCUUCUUCUAAACUUUUGAUUCAAUAAAUAAAGCAAUGAUUAUGAACAAAUCAAAGUAUCAAAUAUUGACCAACGAAGGGUGGUUGAGCUAGUAAAGAUCAUUCUUUUCGCUAUUAAGGCCUAGGUUCAAGUCCUGAUGGUGACAAUUCCUCUUUGUGGGUAAUCUGUAAAAACAAAAAAAAAGGAGAAAAUCUCCUAUAUAAGUCCUUUUUUGGUAUGUCAUGGUCCCAAAAUGGGUAGCCUCCCUUCCCCCCUAAACUUUUGUUCACAAAAAAAAAAAAAAAAAAAAAAAAAGUACCAGAUAUUGAAAGGUGAACAAAAUGAUAAGAAUCUCAGCACUUACUUCUUCCUUCCUCUCUUUAACCUCUUUCCCG
rnacentral:lncRNA from 1 species